UCCACAAUGGUCUGGAUCACAUUAUGAAUAAACCCAAGACUGUGGACUAAUGCAGAAACUGAAAACUGAUGACAGGAGCAGAGUUGGGAUAUAUUUUAUUUUUGCCUUGCUUGUGGUCUGCAGCAGAAGAACCAAAUUCCGAAAUUGGAGAGUUGAAAGCAGAUUUUUAAUCAAAUAAUUGUAAGUUCAAGUGUCUAAAGUGCUAUGUGUGGUGAUAGGGGCAUGGUCGUGUGUCUGUCUGCGGGGGAGAGAGGGAGCAGUAAGGCUCAUCACCUGGGUUGGCAUUAUCUCUAAUACCUGUUUCUUGUUAUAGUGAUGGUGGAGGAAGACAUAAAAAGGUGAACGAGGCAUCAGAGUGGCAGAGAGAGACCAGAGAGAGAGACUGUACCUGUGUGUGCUCGAUAGAAGACUUUACUUGUUUGUUUGUGUGUGUGACUACUUGGCCACUGAGUGCCAAGUACUCACACACUCAUGUUUUAUGAACGAUGCUGAAGAGUAAUAAAAACAUUCACGCUGACAGUUUGCUGCCUCCUGACUCCUUCAUUACCCAGACAACGAAUCUUCUACAGUGGUGCCGAAACCCGGGAAUUCUUGGAGGACAAUGUUGUCAUGGAGUCUUCACCACUGAGCGAAGUCAUCAAUUCCCUCGCCAGCAUCCAGCAAACACAAAAUCAGGCCCUCAUGGAGUUACAACAGAAGCAGGAGCAGCGUUUCCAACUCCAGCUCCAGGCUCAAGCGGAGGACCAACAGGCGUUCCGGAGCCUGAUGGACCGAGAGGGGGCUGCAGCUACGACCCCGGUGACCCUCCUCAAAAUGGGGCCAGGCGAUGAUCCUGAGGCCUUCCUCGACUUCCUCGAGUGAGCAGCCUGCUUGUUACCGCUACUCUACGGGGAAGCACAGCUAGCAGCCCAGCAACUUCCUGCUGCCAGCCUCCUCGAGUGUAAAGACCUGAAGAGGGCCAUCAUGCAAUGGGUUGGCCGUACUCCCGAAGACAGCCGCCAGCGUUUCAGGUCCCUGAGGUGCGGGAAACACUGCCGUACAUUUGCUUUUGUACAAUAGCUCUGGGAUGCCUGCCAGAAAUGGUUACUGGCUGAGGGAGCCCGCGGCGGCGUGGAGAUUGUUGAUCUGGAGAUACUGGAGCAGUUCAUCUCCCAGCUUCCUCGAGGGAUGGCAGAGUGGGUCUAGUGCCAUGCCUGCCAUCGCUGGAGGAGGCAGUCCAGCUGGCUGAGGACUACAUGGCGGCAUUUCCGGGAGGUUGACAGAACCACCCCCACGAGUGAGGUAGGGAAGCCUGGGCCGGUCUGUUGGGGCUGCGGGGAAGCUGGGCACUUCCAGGAUCAGUGCUUGGUGAUGGAGGUGGUGACACUGGUCCGGAUUCCUGACACUCCGCGGGCCACCCCCGAUCGGGCAGGGACGUAUCAUAUACCGGACUCCUAUCCUGAGCUCACCAGAACCAGCCAGAUCCAGCUCCGUUCCUGCUUGGUGUUGGACUCCACUGCUACGUGUCCCUGUGUGAUGAUGACUAAUAGCAGCCGGUGCCAGCCAAACAUCACUUCAGUCUAUUACGAUGGACUUCAGAGGAUGAACUAAUGCCAACUCCAACCAUAAAACAUGGGAUACUUCAAAUGCCAUAGCCUGAACCUUGGACUUAGGAUAGACCUCACCGAAACUACUGGCCAGGUUGAACUGCGAUGCACCUAACUGAUCUCUGCCUGCAUCACCUUUGUCUAAUGAUGGACUACACUCUUGAAAUGGAAUACAUAGACUAUCAAUUAAUUUCCAACAAAACCCUUCAUCAGCCAACUAACAAGGACAAUUGUAUCUAUGUGAACUUCUGCAGUUAAUCCAGGAUGAACUUCAAAGACGUUAGUCAUUAAUCUUACAGUUUAUACAAAAUCUUUGUUUUAAACACUGACCCUUAACACUUAUUUAGUUUAAGACCCUAUCGCCUUCCUGAACACAAAAAAAAGAAAAGUUGUUAAGGAAGAAUUAGAGGCGACAUUUGAUAUGGGCAUAAUAGAAAUGUCGCACAGCGAUUGGGCCAGCCUGGUGGUUCUGGUACCUAAGAGCAAUGGGAUGGUCCAGUUCUGUGUGGAUUAUCGCAAAGUGAAUGCGGUGUCCAAAUUUGACACAUACCCAAUGCCUCGGAUUGACGAAUUGCUCGAUUGGUUGGGCGCGGCUCAAUUUUUUUUUACACUGGACUUAACAAAGGGUUAUUGGCAGAUCCCUUUAACUCCAAUCUCCUGAGAAAAAGUGGCUUUUUCCACACCAUUUUGGCUUACACCAAUCUAUGACCCUUCUGUUUGGUUAUUUGGGGCCCCGGCCAUGUGUUAGCGUCUCAUGGACAAAAUUCUCAGACCCCAUAUAGCAUAUGCCGCUGCAUAUUUAGAUGAUUUUAUUAUCUAUAGUAAUGACUGGCGGCGGCACAUGCAACAUCUGAGAGCUCUCCUGAGGUCAUUGUGACAGGCAGGGCUCAUGGCAAACCCGAAGAAGUGCACAAUUGGGUGGGUGCAAGUUCGGUAUCUGGGGUACCACUUGGGCCAUGGGCAGGUGCGUCCCCAGGUUAACAAAAUCGCAGCGAUCAAGGCCUGUCCAAGGCCCAAGACCAAAAAGAAAGUGAGACAGUUUCUGGGGCUGGCUGGCUACUACUGAAGGUUUGUGCCUAAUUACUCUGACGUCACCAGCCCGCUGACUGUUCUUACUAGAAAGGGGGCCUGCAAUCCGUUCCAUUGGACAGAGUCGUGCCAACAGACUUUCCUAAAAAUAAAAUCUGCACUUGGUGGGGGGGGCCGCUUUUACAUGCUCCUAAUUUCUCUCUCCACUUCAUUUUGCAGAUGGAUGCAUCUGACAGAGGGCUGGGGGCAGUGGUCUUGCAGGAGGUGGAGGAGCAACCGGUGCUGUACACUGUAAGCUCUUGCUGAGAGAGACUACGCACAGCACCGUGGAGAAGGAGUGCCUGGCGAUUAAGUGGGCCAUCCUCACUCUCCGCUACUACCUGCUGGGGUGGGCCUUCAGCCUCUGUUCAGAUCACGCCCCACUCCAGUUGCUCCACCGCAUGAAGGAUACCAAUGUGCGGAUCACCCAUUGGUACUUGGCACAUCAGCCGUUCAAAUUUGAGGUGAUCCACAGUCCAGGAGCGCA